rnacentral:rRNA from 1 species
UACGAAGGGGGGCUAGCGUUUGUUCGGAAUUACUGGGCGUAAAGCGCACGUAGGCGGACUAUUAAGUCAGGGGUGAAAUCCCGGGGCUCAACCCCGGAACUGCCUUUGAUACUGGUAGUCUCGAGUCCGGAAGAGGUGAGUGGAAUUCCGAGUGUAGAGGUGAAAUUCGUAGAUAUUCGGAGGAACACCAGUGGCGAAGGCGGCUCACUGGUCCGGUACUGACGCUGAGGUGCGAAAGCGUGGGGAGCAAACAGG